CGUUAGUGGCGGACGGGUGAGUAACGCGUGGGUAACCUGCCCUGUACAGGGGGACAACAGCCGGAAACGGCUGCUAAUACCGCAUAAGCCUGCGGGGCCGCAUGGCCCGGCAGGAAAAGCUGCGGCGGUACAGGAUGGGCCCGCGUCUGAUUAGCCAGUUGGCGGGGUAACGGCCCACCAAAGCAACGAUCAGUAGCCGGCUUGAGAGAGCGAACGGCCACAUUGGGACUGAGACACGGCCCAAACUCCUACGGAAGGCAGCAG
rnacentral:rRNA from 1 species